ensembl:snRNA LOC120097652 U6 spliceosomal RNA
GUGCUCACUUUGGCAGCACAUAUACUAAAAUUGGAACGAUACAGAGAAGAUUAGAGUGGUCCUUGAACAAGGAUGCUACACAAAUUCAUGAAGCAUUUCAUAAUUUU